GACGAACGCUGGCGGCGUGCUUAACACAUGCAAGUCGAACGGAAAGGCCCUGCUUUUGUGGGGUGCUCGAGUGGCGAACGGGUGAGUAACACGUGAGUAACCUGCCCUUGACUUUGGGAUAACUUCAGGGAACUGGGGCUAAUACCGGAUAGGAGCUCCUGCUGCAUGGUGGGGGUUGGAAAGUUUCGGCGGUUGGGGCUGGACUGGCGGCUUAUCAGCUUGUUGGGGGGGUAGUGGUUGACCAAGGGUUUGACGGGUAGCCGGCCUGAGAGGGUGACCGGCGACAAUGGGCCUGAGAGACGGACCAGAAGCGUACGGGAGGCAGCAGUGGGGAAUAUUGCGCAAUGGGCGGAAGCCUGAUGCAGCAACGCCGGGUGCGGGAUGACGGCUUUUGGGGUGUAAACAGCUUUGGCAUGUGACGAAGCGUGAGUGACGGUAAUGGGUAAAGAAGCACCGGCUAACUACGUG
rnacentral:rRNA from 1 species